rnacentral:rRNA from 1 species
UAAAAGUCGUAACAAGGUUUCCGUAGGUGAACCUGCGGAAGGAUCAUUAAAGAAAUUUAAUAAUUUUGAAAAUGGAUUUUUUUGUUUUGGCAAGAGCAUGAGAGCUUUUACUGGGCAAGAAGACAAGAGAUGGAGAGUCCAGCCGGGCCUGCGCUUAAGUGCGCGGUCUUGCUAGGCUUGUAAGUUUCUUUCUUGCUAUUCCAAGCGGUGAGAGAUUUCUGUGCUUUUGUUAUAGGACAAUUAAAACCGACUUCAAUACAACACACUGUGGAGUUUUCAUAUCUUUGCAACUUUUUCUUUGGGCAUUCAAGCAAUCGGGGCCCAGAGGUAACAAACACAAACAAUUUUAUCUAUUCAUUAAAUUUUUGUCAAAAACAAGAAUUUUCGUAACUGGAAGUUUUAAAAUAUUAAAAACUUUCAACAACGGAUCUCUUGGUUCUCGCAUCGAUGAAGAACGCAGCGAAAUGCGAUACGUAAUGUGAAUUGCAGAAUUCCGUGAAUCAUCGAAUCUUUGAACGCACAUUGCGCCCCUUGGUAUUCCAGGGGGCAUGCCUGUUUGAGCGUCAUUUCCUUCUCAAACAUUCCGUUUGGUAGUGAGUGAUACUCUUUGGAGUUAACUUGAAAUUGCUGGCCUUUUCAUUGGAUGUUUUUUUUCCACAGAGAGGUUUCUCUGCAUGCUUGAGGUAUAAUGCAGGUACGGUCGUUUUACGUUCUACCAACUGCGGCUAAUCUUUUUUUAUACUGAGCGUAUUGGAACGUUAUCGAUCAUUAACAAAACUUCCUAGGCAACAUUGUUCUUAAAGUUUGACCUUCCAAUCGGGAAGGAUUACCCGCUUGAUUUUAUCCUUAUCAAUAACCCGAAAGAAA